AUUGAACGCUGGCGGCAGGCCUAACACAUGCAAGUCGAGCGAGCGGCGGACGGGUGAGUAAUGUCUGGGAAACUGCCUGAUGGCGGGGGAUAACUACUGGAAACGGUAGCUAAUACCGCAUACCAUCAGAUGUGCCCAGAUGGGAUUAGCUAGUAGGUGGGGUAACGGCUCACCUAGGCGACGAUCCCUAGCUGGUCUGAGAGGAUGACCAGCCACACUGGAACUGAGACACGGUCCAGACCCCGACGGGAGGCAGGAGGGGGGAAUAUUGCACAAUGGGCUCAAGCCUGAAGCAGCCAAGGCGCGGGUGUGAAGAAGGGCUUCGGGUUGUAAAGCCCUUUCAGCGGGGAGGCGUUACCCGACGAAAAAGCACCGGCUAACUCCGUGCCAGCAGCCGCGGUAAUAC
rnacentral:rRNA from 1 species